CUAGCCUAGCAAGUAAACGCCGGAAUCAAAUAGCACAGCAAGUAAUAUGUUGAACUUAGCUUAUAAAUGUUUAAUGGAAACGAACAAAUCGAAUGGGGCAAAUUUUACGGAUUGGCUCCGUUGUCUGCGAUUGAUGCUAAGGAUUGAUAAGAUUGAGUAUGUCUUGAAUGCACUAAUCAGUGACAUCCCUGACAAGAAACACGUUGAAGAUGUGCAUUGGCUCAGUGUAUCAUGUUGUCAUCGAUGAAUUCGAUACUACAAAGACAAUAUGAACAUAUGCUUCCAUAUGUGAUGAUUCAACACUUGAAGAGUUUGUAUGCUCCACAAGCUCAAACUACGGAGUAUGAGACACUCCAAGAUCUAUUCAAGUGUAAGCUGCAUGAUGAAGGCAAAGUCUAUGAGCAUGUGUCGCACAUGAUAGGUUUGAUUGAGAGGUUGACAUCGUUUGGAACGGUACUUUCCUCAAAUAUUUCAACAAAUUUGAUUUUGGAGUCUCUUCUUAGUUGUUUUGAAAAUUUCAUUAUAAAUUUCAACAUGAACAACAUGAAGGUUGGUAUGCCAGAAUUGCACAAUAUGCUUACGACUUAUGAGUCUUCCACUGCUAAAGGAAAAUCGUUGCUCAUGGUGGGCUCUUCUGCAAAUUCUUCAAAAUGGAAGAAUGAACAGCCGAAGAAGAUAACAUCUAAGGAUAUUGUUCUAAAGCCAAAAGGUGAAGGGGUUAAGAAGAAGCCGAUACUAUUUAAGGAUGAAUGACUUUUUUGUCAUAAAAAGGGACACUGGAAGAGAGACUGCCUAGAACUCGGGGCAUAAGGUGCAAUGAGUGGGAGCUUAGGGUCUAAGUGACAGCAAGAAAGUAAAGUCAGAGGAAGUGAACCCACACAUAAAAAAUGGGGCAAGAGUAGUUGUAAUAAACUAAAAAUGUGGUGCAUCGUUAAAUGGCAACAUGAAUGAAGUCCUAGUUAACAGUAUGAUUAUCUAUCCAUACUUGUAUAGCUUCAUAUAUUGAUGAAUCAUGUUAUUUCUAUCUAUACCAGGUGAAGAACCAAGAUUUAAGAACUUAAUAUAAAUCUAAUCCUAAUAAGGUUUGAAAUGUACUAUGUCCAUGUCCGUUUCUCACUUUGACUUACUAUGGA